GGGUAAUCUGUGCGAAAUGUGUGUAAAGACUACAUUUCGUACCAAAGAAUAACAGACAUGGACACCGCUAUCGUCAAAGUAGAUGCGAUAAUUUAACAGAUUAGUUUUUCCUACAAGGAAUGGAGAUCGAUGAAAUUGAUAGUAACCAGCCUGGACAUGUACAGAGAGUUAUUAGCAAAUUUGAAGAGCUUUUACUCCAGCGAAUUGAAGUGAAGGAAGAAGUUUGUGAUGAGGAGACAAGUGAUAUCGAUGUUCCGAGCACGCAAAAG